rnacentral:lncRNA from 1 species
GGUGGCGAGGAUUAGCGCUGCUGUCAACACUGAACGCUGGAUAAAGCCUCUGCUCACCCUUUCCUCAGUCUGCUCAUUAGAGCUCAUCAUUUUACCAUUUCCCUCACACACUCGUGUCUGAAGAGUGGCAGUCCUGUCUCCUGCUGUGAAGCAGAUGUUGCCCUCUGUUUUUACCCACCUCUACACCUUUUAUGGCAUGCCAAGCCCCCAGAAGCAAUAGUGCCAUGCUAAGUGAGGGGCUCAAUGGAUAUAUAAAAAUGCAGCAGAAAACAGGUUCUCAAUGUGUGAUGGCCAUGAUUAUGCAACAUUCCGAAAUUGUCAUAAAAGUACUUGGGAACUUUAUGCAGUGCUGAUGCCUGUUGACUUGCAUUUAAUGAAUCAUGAAGAACCAGUUUCAGCUGAAAAUGAUCUGUAAUGUUCUGCUAAAGAAAAAAAGUCACCUACAGUACAUCAAAGAAGGCCUAAGGCCCACUGUCGUAUUUCAUGAAGAAUGAAAAAAAGAGAAGGAAGUCGAGAGAGAGACUCACUCCGAAUGUCCUUGGGAAAGAGGAAGAUCCACUUCAUAGCAUGUUUAUUCAGUUCAUGCUGUCCUUUCACCAAUCUCUCCUCUAUUGCAACCCAUCUCCUCUCCUCUCUCUCUUUUUAGAAGAGAUCAUCUCAAAGUCAUUUUGUCUCGAGGGUUUGAACCUCUUCUGAUGUGCUGGAAUCGGAAGUAUUUUUAUUUGUUGCAUUGUUGAUGAUCCUAAUUGACUGAAUUUUUU